ACGAGAUUCUUUGUAAGGGGGGUAGGAUUUGUAAUACCCGAAUUAUAUAUGAAUAUGGACAGUUAAUAAUUCUAUUAGUAUAUAGUUUUUUUAUAGUGCUCAUUUUUUUACGAAUAGAAUAAUUAAUAAAUAAAGGUUUCAUAGGCAUUCAUUUAUAAGUAAAUAUUAAACAUUUAAUUUUGAAUAUGGUUAAAGAUCUAUUCUCUUGAACAAAUAAUCUUUGAAUGGUGUGAUUUAAUUGGUAGUGAGCUAUAUGUUUUGGCACCUUUACUUAAAAUAAUAUGAAUAGUGAUAGAAGUAAAAUAAAAUAUACUUUGCAUCAUGCUUGAUUUUCUUGUAUUGUUGCACUCAUAUUUAAAUUUAUAAUCUGGAUUUGGAUUUGAAGUAAGGAUUUAAAACAAAAAUAAGACAGCAGGAAAAGAAAACAAAAAAAAGAAUGAUGAAGCCUUAUAUCUAUGUGAAAACCAUGGCCGCUUGGCUCACUAGCCCAAAACGUGGACAUAGUUUUUUUUGUUUUUGAUUUCUUUAAUCCCCUAGCCGAUUGACCUGACGGUGAUAUCUCAGAUGACUUCAUCCCACCAGUCCCUUACGUGUGGGGCACAACGAAUUGAGCCGUUCACGUCUCCUGGGCAUUACCGCAUACAUGCUUCCUUGGUCACCUGCAGGUGGGAUCGGUGGUCCAGAAUCAUCUCUUGUUCAUGCCUGCUUCCUUUUACUGGCUGCCGAGAGAAUUACUGUGCCCUUGUAUGUGGGCCCUGCUCGACAGCCACUGCAGCGCACCAGCCAUUCUUCCUUCUCUCUGAAGCAUGGGCCGGCAAGCCAGGAGCUCCCCCUGACGAAUUAUCUAAUGCGCAAACAGAAUCCCGAGCAUCGAGGGAUUUCUUCUCCAAUUUGUUGAAAGUCCACCGGAGAUCUGGGAUCCCCCACGAAGACCGAGCGCGUGCGGCGGGUUGUUGGGAUCUUUCGAAUUCGGCGUUUGUCGGGGCUACAUGUAUCCUCUGCACCCUUAGCUCGCCCCCAGAACGAGGCCCUGGUAGAACUCAUCGCCACCGUGACUACCAUUAAAACCAAUCGGAGCUGUGAACCAGCUUCGACUCGCCCCACCUCACCGAACCCAGGGAAAAACAAGGCGUAAUCAUGUAGGCACCUACGUGGCUUCGACCGUCUGGCGUGCGCCAAAUCGCUCGUCGGGGUAAUCGCUGUGGCUUCAAGCAAGGUGCCGGGCGGGGUCGCUGGGGAGUACGCGCGAAGUUUUGCCGCACAACAACCUGGAAGCAAGAGUCUCGGCGUAAUUUUACCGCGGUGCGCCUGGCGGUCGAGCCGUGGACGGGUACGGUCGGCAUCUCACCGAACUGGGCCUUCAUCGCUAAUCGAGCCGAGCGACGGGAAUUCUGUCGAGCAAGCUACAAAAGAUCCUGAGGUUCAGCUGGUAGAGACUGCUGAGCAGGAGCUCAUUGAAGG